CCUGAACCAGCCAAGUCGCGUGAGGGAAUAAGGCCCUACGGGUUGUAAACCUCUUUUGCCGCGGAGCAAGGGCUGGGACGAGUCCCGGCCCGAAAAAAACCCGGAGAAAAAGCAUCGGCUAACUCCGUGCCAGCAGCCGUGGUAAUACGGAGGAUGCGAGCGUUAUCCGGAUUUAUUGGGUUUAAAGGGUGCGUAGGCGGGCUUUUAAGUCAGCGGUAAAAAUUCGGGGCUCAACCCCGUCCGGCCGUUGAAACUGGGGGCCUUGAGUGGGCGAGAAGAAGGCGGAAUGCGUGGUGUAGCGGUGAAAUGCAUAGA
rnacentral:rRNA from 1 species